ACAUGGACAGUGAAAUGUUGUCUAUUCACAUUAUGCAGAGAAAGAAAGAACCAGUGUUAUUGAAAGGAUAAAGGCUGAACUUGACACCUGGAAAGAGUUUUAGAAGCUGCAGUCUCUGGUUGAACAGCAAAGGAAAAUUAAAGAACAAUCUCAAAGGUGUCUCAGUUGGACACUCACUGGUGGUCAUGGACAGUCAGCACUUAAGUCCUGCGCUGCUUUACACCUCCCAGAUUGAUAAAUAGGUGAAUUGGCAAAUGAAAUACUGGGGGUAAAACCUGCCAGGUAAGAUUGCUUAUUUGAUGGUCUAUGGCAAUUUGUCCAAUUAUAAGUCGUACUGAGUUUCAAUGUCUCUCUCUGUGUGUGGGGGGAGGGCUGAAUUUAUUUCACCAGUGGGUCAGAAAUAAAUUAUAUGUUUGUAAUGUUGUGUCAGUAAUAUUUAAGAAUAAAUAACAGGGGUGGCAUAUGUUAAAAUUCAAAAUGUGUUGGCAAGUCCUGUUUUGAAACUCCAGGUUUGUGACUUGGAUCUGUGCUCAAUGAAACACAAAAACAGACUUGCAGGACUCAUCACAAAGGAUUCUGAGUUUCUGAGAUGGAUUCAAAAGUUUCUGAGGCCCACAAUUGUUAUAGCCACCCCAUGUAUCCCACUUGGUAAAAGCAUAUUAAGUUACAGAAGGGAGGCAAGAUUGGGAACUGGGAGUAAAAGGAACAGCAAGUUUGGCAAGUGGAAAGUUGAGAACCUUCUGUACCCCUCAUACAGUAGCUCAUGGGUUUCUGUUGCAGACAUACAUACACUCAUACAUGCAUAUCAUUUAUUAAAGUGUCUGGUUGUUCUAGCGCCAACAGCACUAACUGAGGACACAGUUGUACUUAGUUGUGUUUUGUUGUGCUUAGUUGUGCUCGUGGGUUGUAGUUGGAGGGUAGCUAAGAGUGAAAUGUGUUAUGGGAGGGGAGGGGAGAGAAUGGAGAUAAUCUAACACUGGGCUUUUUAAGAAAACAUUGCCCUAAUAUUUUGGGAUAAGCAAGCUGCCUUGACCAAGGAAAGUUGGACUUUCCGUUCCAAUGAUGGCUUAGAUGUGAGUUUUAAUCCCUCGCUCUGUACUCAAUCUCUGAUUUUUGCGAGAAAAUAGUCCUCAUACUGUCUGCUCUUCUUCAGUACGAUUUAUUUUUCACUGUGAAAGAGACCCCUUGGAUUUUAAUAGAUUCUUUGUCAUCCACUUAUGAAAUAGAUAAAAAACUGUUUUCACGACAGUCUUGUUUGAAAUGUUUAGGUUAUCAGCUGUUACGAAUGGGUUGGUAAACAAGUGUAGUUCUAAUUUUGUCCUUCCCCAGGGCCACUCCUUGCGUUCGGGCUUUUCCAAAUCUCCUGCAGUUAAUAUUUUGCUUGCAAUCUCGACGAACUCCAGACAAAAUAGAGGCUCUAUGGACAGACUAACCCUGUAGGGAUUGAGUAAAAUUCAUGGCAAGGGGGGAGCGGAGAGGAAUUUUGGGAUUUAUAGGAGGCAAAAAUUUUGCCUCGUAUUUGGGCCGGGUGAGGUUCUGGUAAAUUUUAGAAGAAAAAUAACGGAUAAUAAAGCUAAAUAACGUUUCGAUUACUCCAUGCCACCUACAAAAAGUGUAACAAAGGACGAGAAGAGGCCGGGGUGAGGAGAGGGCGGGAUGAGGGGAGGGGAGGGCGGAGCUGGACUCGUUGUCGCGUGCUUGUUAAGAACGAAGGAAAGGAAACAACUAUGGACAGACUACCCUCUAAUGAGCAGAGCAAAAGCUGAUCAUUUGCAAACAUUUUCUUUCUUUUUGUUUUGUUUUGUUUUUUUUUUUGCCAAAGUGCGUUUCUUGUGAUAUAUCUUUCUCAUUGCCUGGUGAACUCAAAUAGCAAGCCAACUGAGGACCCGUGCACAC
rnacentral:lncRNA from 1 species